GACGAAGGGGGCUAGCGUUGUUCGGAAUUACUGGGCGUAAAGCGCGUGUAGGCGGUUGUUUAAGUUUGGUGUGAAAUCUCCCGGCUCAACUGGGAGGGUGCGCCGAAUACUGAAUGACUUGGAGUGCGGGAGAGGAGAGUGGAAUUCCUGGUGUAGCGGUGAAAUGCGUAGAUAUCAGGAGGAACACCGGUGGUGUAGACGGCUCUCUGGACCGUAACUGACGCUGAGACACGAAAGCGUGGGUAGCAAACAGG
rnacentral:rRNA from 1 species